UGCACAGGUAAAUGAAAACAUGAAUUAUUUAGGUGCCUAUCUCUAUGAAUUUUCCUUGACCAUUGUUUUCAAUACAACAUUGUUGACCUUAUGGUUUUAGAUGUGAAUGAAUGCCUCGAGACCCCAUCGGUCUGUGGUCCAAACUCAGUCUGCAACAACACCAUUGGAGACUACAACUGUACAUGCUGGAGUGGAUAUAAUGUCACUGAUCCAAGUUUGAAGAGUAGUGCUAACAAUACUUGUACAGAUAUAAACGAAUGUGUUGAGAUAUCAAACGUGUGUGGAUUCAACUCCAACUGCACCAAUUACAAUGGAAGCUACAACUGUUCCUGCCUGAGUGGAUAUCAAGCAAGCUCUGCGAAUCAUCCCAU
rnacentral:lncRNA from 1 species